UACGGGGGGGGCAAGCGUUGUUCGGAAUUACUGGGCGUAAAGGGCUCGUAGGCGGCCAACUAAGUCAGAGGUGAAAUCCCUCGGCUUAACCGGGGAACUGCGUCUGAUACUGGAUGGCUUGAGUGUGGGAGAGGGAUGCGGAAUUCCAGGUGUAGCGGUGAAAUGCGUAGAUAUCUGGAGGAACACCGGUGGCGAAGGCGGCAUCCUGGACCAUAACUGACACUGAAUAGCGAAAGCCAGGGGAGCAAACGGG
rnacentral:rRNA from 1 species